rnacentral:rRNA from 1 species
AUCGAACGCUGGCGGCAGGCUUAACACAUGCAAGUCGAACGAGUGGCGGACGGGUGAGUAAUGUCUGGGAAACUGCCUGAUGGAGGGGGAUAACUACUGGAAACGGUAGCUAAUACCGCAUACCAUGGGAUGUGCCCAGCUGGGAUUAGCUUGUGGGUGGGGUAACGGCUCACCUAGGCGACGAUCCCUAGCUGGUCUGAGAGGAUGACCGGCCAAACGGGAACGGAGACACGGCCCAGACUCCUAGGGGAGGCAGCAGUGGGGAAUAUUGCACAAGGGGCGCAAGCCUGAUGCAGCCAUGCCGCGGGUAUGAAGAAGGCCUUCGGGUUGUAAAGUACUUUCAGCGGGGAGGCGUUACUCGCAGAGGAAGCACCGGCUAACUCCGUGCCAGCAGCCGCGGUAAUUC